UUGGGGUUGUUUUUUUUUUUUUUGACAUGUUAGAAUAUGUUUGCCUUAUAAAAUAAUAUUUACGUCUUUUGCUUUAGACCUUUGAAUCGUAGACAGCUUGUAACAUUCACAGAGCAGCUAUUUCAUAAUUUCGUUUCCUUUUACUCUCAUAAAGAAGAUCACCUGCUGUCUAAAGGUUAGAGCUUAGAAGUGCGCUUCGCGGGGGGAAGGAAACCACGUAGAAAACGCAAACUGCAUUUCAGCAAGCGUGUGACACUUGCGCAGUCUGAAACCGGAACACUCGAGAUCAUCCACCCCUUCACUUCUCUGAGGUUGUUUCAGCUACACAGGAAACUGGGUUUGGACCGUCUACGCUUUAGCAAACGGUGACACUAUUAUAAUGAAGAAUUAUCAGAAAAAUAGAAUCAAACGAUGCUACGGGGGGGGGGGGGGACAGAACCCUUUGAAAUACAGAUUUUGAAAUUGAAAAGCAAAUAAAGCUGAAAUUAAUAGACAAAUACUCGGAGGGUGAGUAAAGACAAGGAAGUUUGUUAGCGCACUUUGAGAACUUCACUACAUAUUAACUAAAAUACUGCCUUAUCAAGGCUAUUGAGACAGAGAGCUAAAACUAGCCACUCUCUAAGAUAUGUACAAGUGUAGCUCUCUUGAAAAGGAAAUACUGUACAAUUUCAAUGAGUCGGACAUCAAGAUAAAAUUAAGAAUUUCAAAUCCACAAGAGAAAGAGACAGAGCGCUAGCAGGGGAAGGUCAGAGAGAGGGAGACAGAAUCUGAAGCAGACUCUAGGCUGUGAGCUUUCAGCACAGACCCGGCUCGAACUCUUGAGCAGUGAGGUCAUGACCUGAGCCGAAGAAAGACGCUCAAUCUACUGAGCCACCCAAGUCCCUAGAGCCAAAGCCCACACCUUUUCUAUCUUCUGGAACUAGUACAGUAGUUAGAACAUGGACUCCCAUGUAUGCCUACAUCCAAACCUGGCUCCACCUGUGAGCUCAGUGACCUUGGCAGUUACUUCAUUUCUGUCCUCAUCUGGAAAGGCAGACAACAGAUUCAAUCUCAAAGUUUUAGUACCUGCCAUGUGGUAAUGUGAUUGCACAAAGCAGAAGAGCUCCUGUAGUCAUUAUUGUGCUUUUCCAGUUGCUUUUAUAUCUGCCUUGAAUUCUCACUGAAAUAGUCACUCCAAAACCCUGGCCCAGAUGUUUUCAGGGUUCUGCUCAAGAGCCCAGCAAUCCACUCCAAGCGAUUUAUUUCAAGCGUGUCACAAAAGAACUGUGAUGUCUUCCUUAUGCAACCUCCAUUCCGAAUCUCUACUUCCAUCUGUUCCUCUGGAAACUGAAUGGUCAGAGUUGCUCAGAGGAACCAGAAAGCCAGUAAAUGAAUCUCAAGUGACUCAGCUGGGAGGGCUGUGGUAAGAAAGCUGCCUCCCUGUUCACCAGGACAAGUGCUGCCCUGGUCAGGAGCGGACAGUCUGCCUGGAGGAACAGGUGCACAGCUUCUCUACUCCCGACAUGUGGUCGCCAGAUGCCAGUUCAGACUUCAGACACUUCAGUCUGUUCAGAUCUUAUUGCAGCACUUGGAAAUGUGGACAAGACAGUCUACUGAAAACUAAUUCUAUACCAAUACGCAGUGUAAAACUCUGUUGCUCCCCUGCUUACGCCACUUUGGUGCCUUCCCAUUUCCCUUAGGAUUGUUCAAUUAAUUGAAUAAGAAAGCCAUUAGACUGAAGUGGCUCUAAGGCUUUAGUUGCUUUAAUAAGCAAACCAAAACCAAAGCCUGGAAAUGCCUCAAGUUUAAGAAACUGAAACCUAGGAGCACCCAGUCACGAAAGAAUGGCCGGCUAGUCUUUUCCCAAAUAAGGCAACUGUUUAAUCAGAUAAUUUCCUUCCUUUGCUCCUACACCUUCUCUACAUAAGGACUUCCCCUAACUCCUGUUGGCAGAGUGCUCCUACCCGCUUCCAGCUCAGCACGGCCUGAUUAGAAUCUAUAUUUACUCCAAUAAACUCUUAAAAUUGUUGAUAUGCCUCAGUUUACCUUUUGAGAGUUCCAGGUUUAAAGUCCCUAAAAUGUACAUGUUAGCAAAGAUCUCCUCAGUCUACCUGCUCAGCUUUUCUCCCUCUGCUUUCCUUCUCCUACCUCACCCUCCAAGUAGCCAGAACUCCUUCUGGUUUCUUCUCUUUCCCUUGGGCCUUCCCUCAUCAGUCUUCACUGCCCAGGAGACCCAUACCUGUCUCCAUCGGAUUUAUCCCACCCAUCCUUCCAUAUCACUUUCCCAGGGGCACCUUCACUGACCACUGAGACUAGGUUUGAUUUCUUCAUUGAACAGGCCUGUGGCUCCUUGCAUGUUUUUGGUUUAUUUUUGGUUUUGUUUUGUUUUUGUGGGGUUUUCUUCUUCUUCUUUUUUCUUUUUUUUUUUUUUUUUUGCCUAGAGUCGAUACAUGUGUAGUUAUUUGUUGACUGAUUACUCUUUAUUUGUAUAAAGGUUGUAUUCCAUAGUAGAUUACAAAUCCCUUGAGGGUAGGAGAGUGUUUUUGUUUUGUUUUGUUUUGUUUUGUUUUUUUUCACUGCUGAUUCCUCGAACAAUUUUAACCAUAGGUUCAACCAUGUGGAAUGGCUGAUAUUUGAAUAUUUUGACCUUAAAAAAAUACCAGUUUCAGAUGCUUCAAUCUAGUACCUGUUCAAUAAAUAUUUAUUUAAAACUGUGCCAAAAAGGCAUCCAUGUGAGGGGCACCUGGAUGACUCAGUCGAUUAAGCAUCCCACUUCUUAAUUUUGGCUCAGGUGAUGAUCUCACAGUUUGUGGGACUGAGCUCCGCAUCGGACUCUGUGCUGACAGUGAGAAGCCUGCUUGGGAUUCUCUCUCUCCCUCUCUCUCUGCCCCUUCCCCUUCAAAAAUAAAUAAAUAAACUUAAAAAGACUUUUUAAAGUCAUUCAUGUGGUUUUUAGGCUGUGUGUGUGUGUGUGUGUGUGUGUGUGUGUGCGUGACAGAGACAGAGAUGAGAGAGAGAGAGAUCAGCUAUUAGUAUAACUGUUACUAGAAGAAUCUUUUAAGUACCACUAUUUUUUAAAAAUUUCAUUGGGUUUUACAGAGAUUUUUCAAAGAUAAAUAUAAUAACAAAUUCCAAAAAUGGGUCCUAUUUGAAAUACAAUUUCAGCAGUUUCCCUCUGCCACUUUGAUCUUAGGUCAAUUUUCUAUUUACCUAAAUUUUCCCCCUUCCGUGAGAUCGAACUCCCAACAGUCAUCACUUGAGCUCCCUGGAGCCUCGUAGGUGAGUUCUGUGUGAUUUCCUCCUGACCUGUGGAAGACAACCCAGGACCAGAUGGAGACUUUUCACUGCCCUCCCCAACUCCCAUGCUGAGCCUCAGGACAGAUGGUAGGGCCAGAAGCCCUACUUCAUUGUCCCCUCCUGAAAUUGAACUGUUUAAA